CAGCGCCACGGUUCGGUCGCCGAAACUAAGCGAGAUAAACGUCACGCGCGCACCCGUACCGCCAUCUAGCGUCGUCGUUGAUACUUGCACGGUACACACCUGCCUGCUUGCACGACAUUUCUCCAUCGCACUCGCACCAGUGGAGUGGUACGUAAAAAUAACCUCAAAACGCUCAUCACCAAAAUAUUGGCCUUCCUUGGAUUAUUAACAGUGAAGUGAAGAAUAAAGUAAAAAUUCUCAGUGGUAGAUGACAUAUAGAGACGAACAUCAAUAGUAUAUUGUUCAACAGUGUUGCUACAUAGUGAAUUUGACAAAAUCGAAAGUUUCCAGAGGACGAAUGUUCGUUUUGGUGGGCUGUCAUCGGGCAGCCCCCAAAUUCUGUGCCAGUAUGUGGUGGUGUAUACUUAUAUGUGUUAUAAACAUCAAAAUAUUUGGAGUGUCAGCGUCUGAUAACAAAUAUCAACUACAGGCGACACCAGAGGCUGAUGGAGCGUGUUCCCUGAAGCAGUUCCAGUGUGCGAACGGGAAGUGUAUACCGCUGUCGUGGGUCUGUGAGGGGGAGAAUGAUUGCGGCGACAACUCUGAUGAAAACAUCGACGAAUGCAAAAAAGAGAGCCGAACCUGUACUUCAUCGGAGUUCCGAUGCAAGACCGGACGGUGUAUACCGUUAUCUUGGCGUUGUGAUAACGAGAAGGACUGCUCCGAUGGAUCAGAUGAAGAACCGGGCACAUGUAAAGUGGAGGCUUGCGAUCCUGAAGAGUUCACUUGCCGGGGAAAGCACGGAGAAUGCGUGCCGCUCACCUGGAUGUGCGACGACAAUCCUGACUGUUCCGAUGGAUCUGAUGAAAAAGCAUGCAAUGAAACAUGUCGUUCUGAUGAAUUCACAUGCGGGAAUGGAAAAUGCAUACAACAACGAUGGGUUUGUGAUGGCGAUGAUGACUGUGGCGAUGACAGUGAUGAAGUGAAAUGCCCAACACCUACGUGUCAACCUCACACGCAUUUCUCUUGUGCGGAUGGCCAUUGCAUAUCUGCUAGAUGGCGCUGUGAUGGAGAUAUUGACUGUCCGGAUGGAAGUGAUGAGAUGGAAUGUGUAUCAACACCGAAGACAACAUCACCGUGCCUGUCAGCAGAGUUCGAGUGUCGUGAUCGCUUAACAUGCGUGCACAGAGCAUGGGUGUGUGACGGCGACCGCGACUGCCCUGGUGGUGAUGAUGAAGCGCCGGAGCUCUGCAGAGGAAACGUCACGUGUAGACUGGAUCAGUUUCAAUGCAAAGACCACAGCUGCAUCCCAGGAGCGUUGUAUUGCAACGGAGACAAGGACUGUCCAGAUGGCAGUGAUGAAUUUAAUUGCACCCGUUCAAAGCCUGUAUGCGACAAGAAAACAGAAUUCGAUUGCGGUGGUGGCAUGUGUAUUCCGCUGUCGAAGUUAUGUGACAAGAAGCCAGAUUGUCCAGAUUUUGAAGAUGAGCCCAGGGACAAGUGCGGGGAGAACGAAUGCGCAAAGAACAAUGGCGGAUGCACGCAGCGUUGUGUUGACACCCCUGUCGGUUACUACUGCGAUUGUGAUAAAGGAUAUAAGCUCAUUGACAACAGAACAUGUGAAGAUAUCGAUGAAUGUGCUGAUCCGGGCGCCUGUUCUCAAAUGUGUAUCAACGAGAAAGGUACAUUUAAAUGUGAAUGUCAUGCCGGAUAUGCACGGGACCCACGCGAUCGCACAAGGUGUAAAGCUACAGAAGGCCAUCCGUCUCUACUGUUCGCUAGACGAUUUGACAUCCGCAAAAUCAGCCUUGAUCACCAUGAGAUGGUAGCCAUCGUUAAUGAUACGAAGUCGGCGACAGCACUGGAUUAUGUUUUCAGAACGGGCAUGAUAUUUUGGAGUGAUGUUGCUGAUGAGAAAAUCUACAAAGCGCCAAUUGAUGAAGGUAGUCAACGUACUGUUGUCAUCGGAGAUCAGCUGAUCACAUCUGACGGAUUAGCUGUGGAUUGGAUAUACAACCACCUUUACUGGACGGACACAGGCAAGAACCAUAUCGAGCUGUCAGACUUGCAGGGUAAUAUGAGGAAGAUACUCAUCAGGGAUCAACUGGAGGAGCCAAGAGCGAUCGCACUUAACCCACUUGAUGGCUGGAUGUACUGGACCGACUGGGGACAGACACCUAAAAUCGAACGGGCCGGAAUGGAUGGAUCGCAACGCCAAACAAUCGUCUCCUAUGAAGUCAAGUGGCCCAACGGCCUCACUUUGGACCUCGUGCGCAAGAGAGUCUAUUGGGUGGAUGCCAAACUGAACACGAUAUCUUCGUGCAACUACGACGGAUCGGCUCGGCGCGUCAUCCUGUACUCGACGGACGUGCUUCGUCAUCCGUUCUCCAUCACUACAUUUGAAGAUUGGGUGUACUGGACCGACUGGGACAAGACAGCUGUAUAUCGCGCCAACAAGUUCAAUGGAAAAGAUGUUGAAGCUAUCACCUCUACUCAUACACUACAAAAUCCGAUGGUCAUCCACGUGUACCAUCCGUACCGUCAGCCGGAUGGCGUCAACCACUGCGCCGCUGUCAACGGCCACUGCUCUCAUCUUUGCCUGCCAGCGCCGAGGAUAGGAACCCACGCACCACGUGUCUCUUGCGCUUGUCCUAACGGUUUACGACUACUACCGGAUAAUCAGAUGUGCGUCGAAGACAGCAUCCCAGACACACCAAAGACUAGCACUGGAAUCUCGAACAACGGGCGUGACGCGGGUGUUAUAGCCGGCAUCGUGGUGGGAGUCAUCUCUGGAAUUAUUAUAUUGGCAGCAGUGAUUGCAGUUGUUAUGUACCGACAUUAUGUGCAUCGCAACGUCACUUCAAUGAACUUCGACAAUCCUGUAUAUCGCAAGACCACAGAGGACCACUUCGCACUAGAGAAAAAUGGCUACGCACCGGGCAGCAAAUUGUAUCCCAGUACUGUGGGAGAAGAGGUGAGAGCGCUAACAGCCAUGGAGUGUACACUCAAUAUACAGAAUAGUCUUAGAUAAGUCGUGUAAACCUACACUGCCCUCCAAAAUGGAGCCAAUUACUAAUAAGUGGGUGUUUUUGUCUUCAACCCAACUCAAAUAUUAAUUUUAUAUAUUUUAUUGUAAACUACAAAUAUAAAAAGAUGUUUAUUUUCGAAACGUCACUUACGUCUUAGGUACAAUGAAAUAAGACCCCAAAACUAAUAUGGCCAAAUUAUAGUAUUGUAAAUAACAAGGUUAAACCUAGGGUUAUUUUAUUAAAGUAAAAUUAAGGUCUGCCUAAGACAUUUUAAACUUGAUGUACUUAGAGUUAUAUUUACUAGGCAUUGUUUUAAGGAUUUUAUAGAAAAUAUUUUCGUUUAGAUAUAAGAUUGUGGCAAUUUAAACGUGCCAACAUUUUUACCGCAUCAGUAUUAAAGAAUAGUUGCCAAAUUAUUGGUUAUAAAUGGUAGGUGUUAAUGCUGUAAAUAGUCACUUUGACAUUAGUAUUAUUAUAAUGAUUUUAUAUUCUGCCUACUGCUUAAUCAUAGACAUUACACAAAAAGUUUUACUGCCGAUAUAUUUAUUUUUCAUGCGUAAACAUGCGAGGGCUAUUAAUCAAUCGGCCCAAGAACCUCUUAACACAUCCGGUACAAAUGACUUUGUAUAGUGUACAAGCCGGCAGCAAGUACAUUAGUGUGUCAUUAAAUGUGAAAAGAAAGAGAAGGACAUGUGAUACUUAAAAUAGUUGAAAAGUGAAUGGGAUUUAAGCUAACAUUUUAUAGUAAACUUUAAUAAGUUAGUGUAGUGCAGUGGAAAGUGUAAAAGCUUUGAACAAAGUUCUGUUUAUCGACUUGCCUCGCUCCAUGCGGAUCUCAAAAUUGCGGAGUUUUUUUUUAUAUUAAUCACCGCAAUAAUGUUUUGUUAACAUUUCAACUGAGAUCUUUGUAAAUGCUUUGGUAUUGUAUCACAUAUAAAAUAGGAGGAAUGUUUUUUUUAUUAUUUUCUCUUUAAACUGUGACCAGUUAGAAAUUCGAAUAUUGCUUUUGAGGAAAUGCCUGGUGCAUAUAAUUAUUUAUAUUUUUUUUUAUAUAUAUUUUUUAGUUAUUAUUUAGGUGUUUUACACAACAGUUAUGUGGCAACAUAAUUAACAUUGGAAAUAAAGUUCAUAUUUUAAAUAUUGAGAUGUACUUAUUAGUAAAUCUACAUUGAUUUUUUUAAAUAAUACAAUUUUGUAGUGAUAUAUUGAUAUAUUAAAUAUACCUAACGCAAUUUUGCCACUUUUAAUUUGAACGUUAAUUCGUAUAGUUUUAUUAUUUAUUGAGGCUGUUUGGAAACAAAUUGUAUUAUUCAUAAAAACGUAAAACGUUUUAUUUAAUAUUUAUUGAAAUUCGUAAUUAUGGUCUGAAAGACACGGACCUUGUGGCGUAGAUAUAUGAAAUCUAUUAAACGAAAACUUUAAAUUGUAAAAUGUUUAACGUUUUUGUGAAUAAGGGGAGUAAUGAAUAAACUCGUCUUCAAAGGUAAUAUGUGUGCCAAUAUGUACAAUAAAUUAUGAACUAGUGAAAAUUUAUAAAAAUAUCGCCAAUUAUGUAUAAUAAAAUAAGUUUCGUUUAAAUUUCAUAGAUCAAUGCUCAUUGUUUGUUGAUUUGUAUUUAUUUGAAUUAUAUGAACUUGUUAUACAUUAGUACAGUUUAAUAUUUAUAUUUUACGUAAAGGUUGUGUUUAACCGUACUACAUAAUGUAUUUUUAUUAGUAAUUAAUUAAAAAUCGCCUAGUAUUUGGAACAUGACUUUGUCGAGCAAAAUCCUGCCAAAUCCUCUAAAUUAUUAUCCUAUUCGUAAUGUAAUUGAAUUACAUUAAAUAAUCACUUAUGCACAUUUCAUACAAUAUGCUAGCUCAAUAAGUGUCGUCACUAAAAUUAUUGUGUAAAUAUUGUCAGUAAAAUAUAUGUAAAAUGUGUUAAUUCUGUA